CGCGUAGGCGGGCGGGCAAGUCAGGGGUGAAAUCCCACGGCUCAACCGUGGAAGUGCCUUUGAUACUGCCGGUCUUGAGGGAGGUAGGGGCGUGCGGAACUUCCGGUGGAGCGGUGAAAUGCGUAGAUAUCGGAAGGAACACCGGUGGCGAAAGCGGCGCGCUGGACCUCUACUGACGCUGAGGCGCGAAAGCCAGGGGAGCAAACGGGAUUAGAUACCCCGGUAGUCCUGGCCCUAAACGAUGGGUACUAGGUAGUGGACUUACAUGGGUUCACUGCCGAAGCAAAAGUGAUAAGUACCCCGCCUGGGGAGUAUGGUCGCAAGGCUGAA
rnacentral:rRNA from 1 species